ACAAGCGGUGGAGCAUGUGGUUUAAUUCGAUGAUACGCGAGGAACCUUACCUGGGCUCAAAUGUAUGUUGACGUAUUCUGAAAGGGAUACUUCUUCGGACAAUAUACAAGGUGCUGCAUGGUUGUCGUCAGCUCGUGCCGUGAGGUGUCGGGUUAAGUCCCAUAACGAGCGCAACCCCUAUCAUUAGUUGCCAUCAGGUCAAGCUGGGGACUCUAAUGAAACUGCCUACGCAAGUAGUGAGGAAGGUGGGGAUGACGUCAAAUCAGCACGGCCCUUACGUCCAGGGCUACACACGUGCUACAAUGGCCGGUACAAAGGGCAGCUACCUGGUGACAGGAUGCUAAUCUCAAAAGCCGGUCUCAGUUCGGAUCGGAGUCUGCAACCCGACUCCGUGAAGUUGGAUUCGCUAGUAAUCGCGCAUCAGCCAUGGCGCGGUGAAUACGUUCCCGGGCCUU
rnacentral:rRNA from 1 species